rnacentral:tRNA from 1 species
AGAUUGGCAGUUCAGUGAUAGAAUUCUUACCUUCCACGCAAGAGACCCAGGUUUGAUUCCCGGCCAAUGCA